AAUGAACGCUGGCGGCAUGCCUAACACAUGCAAGUCGAACGAAGGCUUCGGCCUUCGUGGCGCACGGGUGCGUAACGCGUGGGAAUCUGCCCUCAGGUUCGGAAGAACAGCGAGAAAUUGCUGCUAAUACCGGAUGAUAUCGCGAGAUCAAAGAUUUAUCGCCUGAGGAUGAGCCCGCGUAGGAUUAGCUAGUUGGUGUGGUAAAGGCGCACCAAGGCGACGAUCCUUAGCUGGUCUGAGAGGAUGAUCAGCCACACUGGGACUGCGACACGGCCCAGACUCCUCCUGAAGGACGCCGUGGGCACUAUUGGAUAAUGAGCGCAAGUCUGUUCCAGCAAUGGCGCGUGGGUGAUGAAGGCCUUAGGGUUGUAAAGCGCUUUUACCCGGUAUGAUAAAGACAGUAACGGGGGAAUAAGCUCCGGCUAACUCCGUGCCAGCCGCCGCGGUAA
rnacentral:rRNA from 1 species